rnacentral:rRNA from 1 species
UGGGGAAUCUUGCGCAAUGGGGGAAACCCUGACGCAGCAACGCCGUGUGAGUGAUGAAGGCUUUCGGGUCGUAAAGCUCUGUCAGAUGGAAAGAAUUAGUUUGCUGAAAAUAUCGGCAAAUGAUGACGGUACCAUCGAAGGAAGCACCGGCUAACUCCGUGCCAGCAGCCGCGGUAAUACGGAGGGUGCAAGCGUUGUUCGGAAUUAUUGGGCGUAAAGCGCGUGUAGGCGGAUAGAUAAGUCAGGUGUGAAAGCCCUUGACUCAAUCAAGGAACUGCACUUGAAACUAGUUAUCUCGAGUACGAUAGGGGAGGGCGGAAGUCCCAGUGUAGAGGUGAAAUUCAUAGAUAUUGGGAGGAACACCAGUGGCGAAGGCGACCCUCUGGAUCGAUACUGACGCUGAGACGCGAAAGCGUGGGUAGCAAACA